AUUGAACGCUGGCGGCAUGCCUUACACAUGCAAGUCGAACGGCAGCACGGACUUCGGUCUGGUGGCGAGUGGCGAACGGGUGAGUAAUAUAUCGGAACAUACCCUGUAGUGGGGGAUAACUAUCCGAAAGGAUAGCUAAUACCGCAUACGCUCUAAGGAGGAAAGCGGGGGAUCGUAAGACCUCGUGCUAUAAGAGUGGCCGAUAUCUGAUUAGCUAGUUGGUGAGGUAAAGGCUCACCAAGGCGACGAUCAGUAGCUGGUCUGAGAGGACGACCAGCCACACUGGAACUGAGACACGGUCCAGACUCCUACGGGAGGCAGCAGUGAGGAAUUUUGGACAAUGGGGGCAACCCUGAUCCAGCAAUGCCGCGUGAGUGAAGAAGGCCUUCGGGUUGUAAAGCUCUUUUGUCAGGGAAGAAACGGUUGUGGCUAAUAUCCAUGGCUAAUGACGGUACCUGAAGAAUAAGCACCGGCUAACUACGUGCCAGCAGCCGCGGUAACAC
rnacentral:rRNA from 1 species